rnacentral:rRNA from 1 species
UACGGAAGGUCCGGGCGUUAUCCGGAUUUAUUGGGUUUAAAGGGAGCGUAGGCGGGCGUUUAAGCCGGCUGUGAAAGUUCGGGGCUCAACCCCGGAAUUGCAGUCGGAACUGGAUGCCUUGAGUCGGUGCAGCGGUGCCGGAACUCGUGGUGUAGCGGUGAAAUGCUUAGAUAUCACGAAGAACUCCGAUCGCGAAGGCAGGUGCCGGGCGCCGUACUGACGCUGAGGCUCGAAGGUGCGGGUAUCGAAC